AGCUCACCAGAGAGGCCAGAGGAGGCGGCAGGAAGGUGGGGUCUCUCCAGCCAGGGGCUUCCUGAAAGAGCUGCCUUCUGAGCAGGCCCCCCAGGCUAGGAAGAUGUGCACCUGCCGAGCUGGGCAGGAGAGGGUGGCCCAGUGGAGGACCCAGCAUGGGCAGAGGUUUGGAGGUGGCAGGUCCUGAGGGAAGCGGAAGGCAGCCAGGUUGUGACAGCCUGUGAGGACCUCUUGGCUCCCGGAGCCUUCUCUCUCCUGGAAUAGAGAUGACACCGUGCUGCCAUUGAACUCAACCCGAAAAAAUGAUCUGUUGCAAAGCUCACAGGAAAUAAUGGAGCAAUGUUACACGAUAAACUGUAAAGUGUGGUGAGCAUGUGAACAAGCGUCCAGGACCCAGCGAAGCCCCAGGCUACUGGGCUAGGCGUCAGAUGAGAAGAGGCAGAGGGCAACCUCCUGUAGGAUCUGAGGCCUUCAUGUGCUCAGCCCAUGGCUGUCGUCACGGUGACGUGUGCAUGCGAUGUAUCUGGGCCAUCCUUGUUCUUGAACGCGGGCAGUGAGUCCCACGGUGAUGUGGCAUGUCACGAGCUGAAGGAGGGGCACCUGCAUUCAGGCUUGCGAACCAGCGAGACAGCCUUUGGACCUUUCGGAGCCUCACUUUCCCACACUAAGAAUUGGAGUGGAAUUCCCAAGGUGCUGGAGGUUGAAAGGCAUUGAGAAUCUAAAACGCUUUGCAGACAGCAAGACCCUCUGUGUAAGUUAAGAAUGCUCACUCAGUCCCAGCAGGUACUCAGAGGGAUCCUUUUAUUUCUCCAGAACAUUCUGCAGGAGAGGGGACCUGUGGAAUGUAGUUGAGUCCUGAGGGUGCGGCCCCGUGAUGAAAUUAGUGGCCUGAUAAGAAGAGGCCCAGAGAACCGGCUCUGUCUCUGCUCUCUGUCGCACGAGGACCCCACAAGAAGACGGCCACCUGCAAACAGCCAUUGAAUCUGCCAGUGACUUGGUCGUGGAGUUCCAGCCUCCAGAACUGUGAGAAAUAAAUGUUUGCGAUUUAAACCGCACAGUCUGUGGUGUUGUGUUGGCAGUCUGAACUGACGG
rnacentral:lncRNA from 1 species